AAUAUGAACUAGGCGAGUUUAAUCGAUGAUAAAUGAGUAUAGUUUCGAUAUGGGUAUAAAAGCAGACCUGAAUACCGAGCAUUCGGGUUCGGGUAUAAUAUGGUUUUGAUCUGUAUUUGAUUCGAAUCCGCACCCAAACUCAAACAUGAACUAAACCCGAACUAGUUUUAUAUUAUAUAAUAUGAAUCCGGCUAUGGUGCUUGUAAAAGCACCAAUCACUUUGUGCUUGUAGGUUUUUAACCGUUAGAUCAGUACUGUUGAUCAUUUACAUCCGUUAGAUUAUACUAUUCAACCAACCACCCAUUCAAUCUUAGGGGGCUCAUAUCAUCCUAACCACAUAUUUUUUAAUCUAAAGGCUAAAAACUUACAAGCACCAAUGUCUUGGUACUUUCAAAAGCAUAGGAGCUCAAUGCAAUAUAAUACAUAAAAAUUUUAAGUUUAUGCCUUAGAAAUUUUGAUUCAAAUGUGAUAUAUUCUAAAUUUGAUAAAACGAAAUAAUUGCUUUCGGAUUCGAAUUUUCG
rnacentral:lncRNA from 1 species